rnacentral:rRNA from 1 species
GACUUUCAGANGGACUGGAUUGUUGCCUUCGCGGAAACAUUGAGACAGGUGCUGCAUGGCGUGUCGUCAGACUCGUGUCGUGAGAUGUUGGGUUAAGUCCCGUAACGAGCGCAACCCUUGUUCCUUAGUUACCAGCACGUAAUGGUGGGCACUCUAAGGAGACUGCCGGUGACAAACCGGAGGAAGGUGGGGAUGACGUCAAGUCGAUCAUGGCCCUUACGGCCUGGGCUACACACGUGCUACGAAUGGUCGGUACAAAGGGUUGCCAAGCCGCGAGGUGGAGCUAAUCCCAUANAACCGAUCGUAGUCCGGAUCGCAGUCUGCAACUCGACUGCGUGAAGUCGGAAUCGCUAGUAAUCGCGAAUCAAAUGUCGCGGUGAAUACGUUCCCGGGU